rnacentral:lncRNA from 1 species
AAAUGUUCGCUGAAUGCAGUCCUGCAUUGAUAGAAAUACAAUUCGAGCUGCAUUUUUACUGUAAGAUGAUCCAGAUGCAUGUUGUUUACUUUAAUACAUUGUGUCAGUCUAAUUUAUAAAAGUUUGUGCAUCAAAUACUUGAAUAAGUUGAAUCCUUUGAAAAUGUUGACAUAAUUAUAAAUAAAUAGAAAUAUACGUACAUCUCAUGUUUUCAAUAGUGUGUUUUCACGUGAACCGCUGUGACGUCACUAGAAUUUAGCGUCCGCCAUGUUGGUGGAGUAAAACGCGUCACGUGCGAGGAAUUUACUAGUGUUUACUAGUAUAGCUGUGCCAAACCUGUUCGAAAUAUUCCUCAAUAUGCCGACUUUUUGUGUAGUUUUAAACAGUUCAAAUGACAAACCUAAAAUGUAAAGAUCUUUCUUUCUGCCGGGUGCCGAAAGUUAUUAAAAAUCAAGGCGAGGAAAUGGAGAUUUUGUGAACCAAACGCAGUCGAAGAAUCGACGAAGAUGGCUGUCGGCCAUAUUAAAUUGGAGUCGCCGGAGAAUACAGAAGAAAUGGUCAAAGAGAAGUUACAGAGAGUAAACGAACCUGGCGAGGUUGUUUAAUGUUUAUUUGAUCCUAUGACUAUGGACGAUAUCGCAGACAAUUGUCCAGAAAACCUGAGAAACGCCGACCAUAAGCCCACAACAGUUGGCAUUCAGACAAGCGAGUGUCAUAAUUCUAUGCUUCAAUCCGAGUUUUAAUUUCUGGGUAAACCAUGUUCUGCUGACUUUUAUUGAUAGACAAACUAAUCUCCUUGCAAGGGCACAGACGUUUUCAAGUUACAAGCAUCAUAACACUGUUAAAGUGUUAAUUGGAAUUACAACACAACUCACAAGGUACAAUUUGCUUUGUCAGUGAAGCUUGGGGAGGGAGGAAUUCAGAUAAGUUUCUGACUGAGAACUGUGGCUUACUGGACAACCUUAUACCAGGUGAUUUGGUUCUGGCGGAUAGGGGUUUCACUGUCCAUGAAAGUGUUCGGUUUCACCAAGCCAAAUUGAAUAUUCUGGCAUUCACAAAAGGAAAAGACCAACUUGAUUCUGUUGAUGUGGAACAGACAAGAAAGAUUGCUACUGGCCGGAUACAUGUCGAAAGAAUUAUUGGUUUACUGAGACCGAAAUAUACCAUUCUUCAACAAACUUUGCCAACUGAAUGAACUGAUUACCUUAUUUGCAGAAAAGGAGAAUCUGUUCCUCUCAUUGACAGAAUGAUUAAAGUUUGCUCUGCACUAGUAAACCUUUGCCUUCAUACUAUAUACCUUUUGAUUGAAGUAAAGUAUUUUACAACAUUAUGUUUUCACCAAGAAACAGAAACACAUUCUUUCAACAUUUGAAAAUUUGGUGGUCAAGUCUGAGAACCUCCUCAUGGUGACCAUGCAUGGGCAACAGCAUGUUGUGUAAAUCAGGGGUGGAUUAGUAAGCUACUUUAAUUGUACUUUGUCAAAAAGAGACCCCUUUGCAGCUGCAAAGUAAAAAAUUUACCCCUGCUUGUUUCAUGACAUGCUGGCUAAUCUCAGCAAUAAUAUUUCAUGCAAUUCUCAUGGGGGCUUGUGAUAUAGGGAAUAAAUACAUCAAUAUUUUAACUAGGCCUGUUUGAAUACCAUGAACAUUGAAACAAUGUAAAAACCAUGUCUGUUGGGACUGUAUUAUUGGUGGGGGUUAACUAAUUGAUUGGGCCACCCAAAGACUUGGGGUAGGCCAGGGCAAUAAACUAUUUUAGGGUCCCAUAGAUAUGAUUUGACAAAGCCAUAUUUUGUGUAAAGUGCUGAGAUUAGCCAAAAGCUUGUGCAAAAGUUUGCAAUCGCACAGGGGUAGAUUAACACUUUAACAGACCAACAUAUGACAUUGUACAAAUAAUAUGCAAAAUAAAAUGUUGUCCAGUUAAACAAUAUAGGGGUCCUGGUGUGCUAAUCCGCCCCGUGUUUACACAACAUGCUGUUGCCCAGUGGUCACCAUGUGGAGGUUCUCAGUCUUGACCACCAAAAAUGUUUAAUGUUUAUCAAAGUCUUAAGUCUGUAAUAAUUUUCAAAUGCAAAAAGUUUGUAUCUUUGAUAGAGUUUUAUAUAUAAUAAUUUUAACAGUUAGUUCAAUAAAAAUGCAAACUGAAUCAGUAUUGGUGUAAGCUUUUUUAUUUUGUGCUCUCAGCCGUCGGAAAAAGAGUAAUGAGACCAUAUAUAUUUGAUUGAGGACUGGAAAAUUAAUUCAUGUCAGUUAACUCCAUUAAGAUGCAAUGUAACUGAUACUGUAUAAAUGCAACCUACUUUAUUAUUUAUUUUCUGCCUAACACCAGGCAAUGUUAUUUGUUGAAAAUAUUCAGUGAUAAAGAUGAUUGCCGCAGCUUUGUAUAGAAAGCAUGUUUUAGUUGUUUUAGCAGCCCAAUUGAGAUACGUAGUAGGUCUUGUACACCUAUAAACACAGUGCAUAACAAAGUCUGUGCUCUCUUUGUUAAAUAUCUUUUAGUUGUUUUCAUCAAUGGAAGUGGUUACACAUGAGGAUAUUCUUGUCAUAACAUGGACAGGAUGAAGAACAUCUGGAUGUGAUGUGGUGAAUGAUGGCGAUAUAGCUCUGGAGAUGAAAGCUGUUACUCACUGGUACUUCAAUGUAGCUGUGAACCUUCGUUGCAUUACAAUACCCUUCAUCUCAAUAUCUUCAAUGGAAGGCUUACUGUCUUGGCAUAAAAAGAAUCACACUGCACUACCAUACGAAAUGUGUGAUGUUAUGCUGUACUGCAUUGAAACAACCACUACUAAUAGUGUUUGCCAUAAAUAGAAAUGCAAAAUUGGUUUUGGCUGCAGAGUCUUGUAAUACUGACUUUUCUAGCACUCAAAAUAACGGGUCAAGGGUCAAUCAUCUGGCAUACAAAAUAAUAUCAGUAGCUACAUAAAUUGUGUAUUUGACCCCAAAACUCUGGUUUGAACAUCAUCCUGACCUAUUAAAUUCCCUGAUUUGUUUCAAGUGCUGUUUUUUGUUUGUGCUGUAUUGAGAACUGACUGUAGUUAUAUCCAGGUUUUCUUUGCCCUGCAGGUUAUUUCUUGGCAUUUGCUAUUAUAUGCAGCUGUAGCAUAAGUGUUGGUAUUCUGUGAUGCCAUCUUACCAAUUCUGCAGUUUUAUAUGGCUAAUAAUAAACAAUGAACUGAUUAAAUACCUGAUAACAGUCUUUAAAGAUACUAAGUAAACAGAUCACACAGAAUUGAUGUUCAAUAAAAUUUAUUUCUGUCAAACUACAAAAAUGUUGACAUUACUCUAAAUAUGCUACAUGAAAGGUAAAUGAUAAAAAUACACUGUAUACGAAUAGUGAUGCUUUUUUCUCUUAAUGAUGUACAUUAAACAUUCUAGAGGAAUUAUAUUUCUUUGUAAACCUG